GGGAUUGUGGCUCAGCAGUAGAGCACUCCCCUAGGACGGGCGGGACCUGGGUUCAAUUCUCAGCACCA
rfam:Ictidomys tridecemlineatus contig057166, whole genome shotgun sequence.